GACGAACGCUGGCGGCGUGCUUAACACAUGCAAGUCGAACGGAAAGGCCCCUUUGGGGGUACUCGAGUGGCGAACGGGUGAGUAACACGUGAGUAACCUGCCCUUGACUUCGGGAUAACUUCAGGAAACUGGGGCUAAUACCGGAUAGGAAUCCUUGCUGCAUGGUGGGGGUUGGAAAGCUUCGGCGGUUUUGGAUGGACUCACGGCUUAUCAGCUUGUUGGUGGGGUAGUGGCUUACCAAGGCUUUGACGGGUAGCCGGCCUGAGAGGGCGACCGGCCACCUUGGGACUGAGAGACGGCCCAGGCUCCGACGGGAGGCAGCAGUGGGGAAGAUUGCACAAUGGGCGGAGGCCUGAUGCAGCAGCGCCGCGUGCGGGAUGACGGCCUUCGGGUUGUAAACCGCUUUCAGCAGGAGCGAAGCUUGUGGUGACGGUACCUGAAGAAGAAGCACCGGCUAACUACGUG
rnacentral:rRNA from 1 species